CCCUCAGCACAAGGCUCUGGGUCACUGUCACACACCAGCUCGACCCUCCCCUGGGUCAGGGCCAGGUCUUGGGUGAGACAAACACACCUGUCACGAGGGAUGCAAGGAUUCA